rnacentral:lncRNA from 1 species
ACUUCUUCCUUGUCGUGUUACAAUUUCUGUUGACUCAUCCCAGCUCAGGGGAUGCAGAGCCGCAGGAGUACACAAAAUGAUAAGGUUUUCCUUUCAAUUUAAAAGUCAUGUUUGAAGCAUUUCAUUAAGAAAUUGUAGAGAAAAACUCAUCUCUCAUUAAACAUGAUAGGAAAGGCUUCAGACAUACUUUUUCCAUUCAUCUUCUCAUUAUGGGAAAUGCUGCUGCCUGUGUCACUCAGGUAUAAACUAAAAGGUCAGUUCUUUAGCAAGGAGGCUUUGUAAUCUGUUAGAAAACACGGUGACAACACCCCCAGUGCAUCCUCCUGAUUGUCGCUUCAGUUGGCCCAUGACUUCUCUCUCCCUGCUCCAUACAAUGCAGUUGCAUUUUUGAGGAAAAAAGUUUCUCUUUUUUCUCACUGUUUAGAUUCUCCUAAGCUUAAUAUUUUUAAAACGUUAGCUCCAUCUCACCCCUAAUCCAAGAGAUCCUCAUCUACGUCCCAGAGUACAGGUUGAUGAUGAUUCCCAGUAUCAUCUCCAAGCACAUCACCUCCAGAAACUUUUCUCAAAUGUUCCUUUGACCCCUCCCUACAGGCCAUCAAGGCCCACUGCUCCUGCCUCUGGAUGUUUUAACCCCCAACUUGUCUAUAACACUCACUUUCUAUGACAGUAUAUUAUGGGCAUAUGCAUGUGCAGACGAGUAAAGGUGGAUGCAGGUAGGCACAGGUGAGUGAAGGUGAGCGCAGGUAGGCACAGGUGAGUGAAGGUGGGCGCAGGUAGGCACAGGUGACUGAAGGUGGGUGCAGGUAGGUACAGGUGAGUGAAGGUGGGUGCAGGUAGGCACAGGUGACUGAAGGUGGGUGCAGGUAGGUACAGGUGAGUGAAGGUGGGUGCAGGUAGGUUCAGGUGAGUGAAGGUAGGCGCAGGUAGGUGCAGGUGAGUGCAGGUAGGCACAGGUGAGUGAAGGUGGGCGCAGGUAGGCACAGGUGAGUGAAGGUGGGUGCAGGUAGGCACAGGUGAGUGAAGGUGGGUGCAGGUAGGUACAGGUGAGUGAAGGUGGGUGCAGGUAGGUUCAGGUGAGUGAAAGUAGGCACAGGUAGGCGCAGGUGAGUGAAGGUAAGUGCAGGUAGGCACAGGUGAGUGAAGGUGGGCGCAGGUAGGCACAGGUGAGUGAAGGUGGGCACAGGUAGGCACAGGUGAGUGAAGGUCGGUGCAGGUAGGUACAGGUGAGUGAAGGUGGGCACAGGUAGGCACAGGUGAGUGAAGGUGGGUGCGGGUAGGCACAGGUGAGUGAAGGUGGGUGCAGGUAGGUAAAAGUGAGUGAAGGUGGGCGCAGGUAGGCACAGGUGAGUGAAGGUGGGCGCAGGUAGGCACAGGUGAGUGAAGGUGGGUGCGGGUAGGUACAGGUGAGUGAAGGUAGGUGCAGGUAGGCACAGGUGAGUGAAGGUGGGUGCAGGUAGGUAUAGGUGAGUGAAGGUGGGUGCAGGUAGGUAUAGGUGAGUGAAGGUGGGCACAGGUAGGUACAGGUGAGUGAAGGUAGGUGCAGGUAGGCACAGGUGAGUGAAGGUGGGUGCAGGUAGGUGCAGGUGAGUGAAGGUGGGUGCAGUAGGUACUGGUGAGCAAGGGUGGACACAGGUAGGUACUGGUGAAUGAGGGUGGGUGCAGGUAGGUUCAGGUGAGUGAAGGUGGGUGCAGGUACAUACUGGUGAGUGAAGGUGGGUGCAGGUAGGUUCAGGUGAGUGAAGGUGGGUGCAGGUAGAUACUGGUGAGUGAGGGGGGGUGCAGGUAGGUUCAGGUGAGUGAGGGUGGGUGCAGGUAGGUACUGGUGAGUGAGGGUGGGUGCAGGUAGGUGCAGGUGAGUGAAGGUGGGUGCAAGUAGGUGCAGGUGAGUGAGGUAGGUGCAGGUGGUAGAGAAGGGUCCUGCCUCAGAAUGCCUAUCCAUUCAUUCCAUAAAUGACCACUUCUUGAGUGCUAUUUGUUAAAACUUUCCCAAGACCCCAGGACACUGCUAAAUAAUCUAUACAGGAAGUCUGAUCUUGGAAAGCUUACAAACUAUCCGAAGGGGUAGGCAUUAAAUCAAGUGCUCAAUUUAUUAGCUAUUUGCAGUGGUUAAAAGUGCCUCAAGGAAGAAAAACAAAAUUCUUGAAAAUGUUUCAAAACCAAACCUGACCAAAUCUCAGGACAAGGGUCAAGGGAGGCUCUCUGAGGACAUAUCAGAGGAGUGGGUGUUGGAUGGUCAAGGAAAAGAAAAGAAUGUCAGAACAGCAUGUACACGGCCCCGAAGCAGCAUGGAGAUGGGUUCUUUUCUGCAAAACUUUCAAAACCAGCACUGCUGAACCAAUAAGAAAGUGAGUCUGGUAGAGGCUACACAGAGGUUCUAAAUCCAUGCAACCUACGUGUUCAUCCAUCAACGAGUAAGUGGAUAAAGAAAAUACCGUCCAUAUACACAAUGGAGUACUAUUCAGCCAUAAAAAAGAAUGAGAUCCAGUCAUCUGCAACAACAUGGAUGGAACUGAAGAUCACUAAGUUACAUAAACCAGGCACAGAAAGACAAACAUCACAUGUUCUCACUUAUCUGUGGGAUCCAAAAGUCAAUACAAUUGAACUCAUGGACAUAUAGAGUAGAAGGAUGGUUACCAGAGGCUGGGAAGGGAGGUAGGGAGCUGUGGGGGAGGUGGAGAUGGUUAAUGGGCACAAAAAAUAGUUAGAAAGAAUUAAUAAGAUGUACUAUUUGAUAGCACAACAGACUACAGUCAAUAAUAACUGUACAUUUUAAAAUAAAUAGUAUAAUCGGAUUGUUUGCAACUCAAUGGAUAAAUGCUUGGGAG